rnacentral:rRNA from 1 species
AUGAACCGGCAAUGGAUGUAUGGUGACAGACACACCCGCGAGUACAUUAAGGGCAUGCAUGAGUUUCUCGAUGCGGCUGAGGCAAACAAGCAGAAUGGUUUUAUGUGUUUUCCAUGCACUGAAUGUGGGAAUACGAGGUCUUACUCUAACCGGAAAAUCCUUCAAUCCCACCUGCUUUACAAGGGUUUCAUGCCACACUAUAAUGUUUGGACGAGGCAUAGAGAAAUAGGGGUUAUGAUGGAAGACGGCGAAGAAGAAGAGUACGAUGACAACUAUGUGCCCCUGAAUAUGGUGAUGCUGCAACGGGGGGAGCUGGUGAAGAUCAAGAGGAACCAGACGAUGUGCCCAAUGAUGCUGCCACGGGUGAAGCUACUGAAGAUCAAGAGGAACCAGACGAUGUGCCUGAUGAUGAUGAUCUCUGCCGGGUCAUUGUCGAUGCAAGGACGCAAUGCAUUAGUCAAAAGGAGAAGCUGA